rnacentral:rRNA from 1 species
GAUGAACGCUGGCGGCGUGCUUAACACAUGCAAGUCGAACGAAGCACCUUGAUUUGAUUCUUCGGAUGAAGAUCUUGGUGACUGAGUGGCGGACGGGUGAGUAACGCGUGGGUAACCUGCCUCAUACAGGGGGAUAACAGUUAGAAAUGACUGCUAAUACCGCAUAAGAUCACAGCACCGCAUGGUGCAGGGGUAAAAACGCCGGUGGGAUGAGAUGGACCCGCGUCUGAUUAGGUAGUUGGUGGGGUAACGGCCUACCAAGCCGACGAUCAGUAGCCGACCUGAGAGGGUGACCGGCCACAUUGGGACUGAGACACGGCCCAAACUCCUACGGGAGGCAGCAGUGGGGAAUAUUGCACAAUGGGGGAAACCCUGAUGCAGCGACGCCGCGUGAGCGAUGAAGUAUUUCGGUAUGUAAAGCUCUAUCAGCAGGGAAGAAAAUGACGGUACCUGACUAAGAAGCACCGGCUAAAUACGUGCCAGCCGCCGCCGUAACAC